UACGGAGGAUGCAAGCGUUAUCCGGAAUGAUUGGGCGUAAAGCGUCCGCAGGUGGCUGUGUAAGUCUGCUGUCAAAGAGCAAAGCUCAACUUUGUAAAGGCAGUGGAAAAUACACGGCUAGAGUGCGUUCGGGGCAGAGGGAAUUCCUGGUGUAGCGGUGAAAUGCGUAGAGAUCAGGAAGAACACCGGUGGCGAAGGCGCUCUGCUAGGCCGCAACUGACACUGAGGGACGAAAGCUAGGGGAGCGAAUGGG
rnacentral:rRNA from 1 species